UGGGUUCGCUCUUGUUUUGGCGUGCGAGGCAAUGAGUUGCGGGAGUUGCCGCGGGCCAGGGCACUAACUAUAACUUUCGUUACCUAGGUUCUACCGCAGCACAUCUUGAACAAAGUUUGGACCAAGUGGGAUGCCCAAUUUGCUCCAUGCUCUCCCUGUCCUUAUGCUGAAAUCAUGAGGGCAGAAAGAUGGUUCACAGUAAUUCUUUCACACCAGCAGCGCUGCAGCAGUACCGGUCACUUGUGUCCACAUACGACAGGCUGCAUUCCUGCCGCUUGUGUGGUUACGCGAAUGCACGCCUGCACCGCAUGAAAACACACCUUCGCACGCAUACGGGUGAGCGCCCCUUCCAGUGCCACCUGUGUCCAGCCACAUUCUCCGAUCGAAGGAACCUUAACCAUCAUGUCGACACCCACCCGGGAGGGCGUCGGCAUUUCUGUAUUUCCUGCAAUGCUUCCUUUACGAAGAAACACAACCUCAAUCGCCACAUGUCCAGUCAUUCAAAGAAGCCCUAAAGUUCAGUUGCAGGCCGCAGACAUUCACCGCUAAGGCCCCCCAAUCUUUGCCACGCUGACAAGCAUUGGAAGAAAACCUUGGCCAGCUUCAUGUUCGAAGACCAGCUAAGACGCUUCUUCGAAGCUACUUUUGCAUAAUAAAGAUGUUUAUUCUGAGCUCUC
rnacentral:lncRNA from 1 species